CAGCCAGUAGAUGGAAAGUUUGCAGAGCGGUCCCCAGGAUAUAGCCCAGCCUUUCCCCCUCAUUGCCCAUUUUCCUGGCAUUGUCUUACAAGGCUCUGGAGAGCGCGGAGACUCCUUGGGAACAGGAGAAAAGCCUUGACUUUGAAGGCAGAGUACCAGCCUCACACGACUCCGAGCCUGACCUCCUGAGGAAAACCAUCCCCUCUCAUCCCGUCCUCACGUCCAGGAAAAUCAGCUGACAGGUGACUCCAAGACACCUCUCACUGAAGUCCCAGGAGCAAUUUCAUGUUUACGAACCUUGGCUUUCUACUUGGACAAUGGGAUUUGUAAAUUCAGCUGCGGCAUCGGGAGGAGCAGCUGAAAUGCCUCUCUGAAGCCUCAUGGGAAAUAAAUAGGCCUUCACUCCUUCCACUCCCCAACG